rnacentral:rRNA from 1 species
GAUGAACGCUGGCGGCGUGCUUAACACAUGCAAGUCGAACGAUGAGGCCCAGCUUGCUGUGUUGAUUAGUGGCGAACGGGUGUGUAACACGUGAGUAACCUGCCCUUCUCUCUGGUAUAAUCCUGGUAAAGUGGCUCUAAUACCGUAUAGAUGCUUCCUCCACAUGGGGGGUGUUGGAGAGAUUUAUUGUUUUUGUGUGGACUCGCGUGUUAUCCUCUUGUUUGUGGGGUUAUGGUUCACCAAGGCGUCGACGGGUAGCCGGCCUGAGAGGGGGACCGGCAACACUGGGACUGAGAAAGGGCCCAGACGCCAACGGGAGGCAGCGGGGGGAAAUAUUGAACAAGGGGCGAAAGCCUGAUGCAGCGACGCGGGGUGAGGGAUGACGGCCUUCGGGUGGUAAACCUCUUUCAGUAGGGAAGAAGCGAAAGUGACGGUACCUGCAGAAGAAGCACCGGCUAACUACGUG